CCUACGGGUGGCAACAGUGGGGAAUAUUGGACAAUGGGGGCAACCCUGAUCCAGCCAUGCCGCGUGUGUGAAGAAGGCCCUCGGGUUGUAAAGCACUUUCAGUGAGGAAGAACGCCUGGUGGUUAAUACCCAUCAGGAAAGACAUCACUCACAGAAGAAGCACCGGCUAACUCCGUGCCAGCAGCCGCGGUAAUACGGAGGGUGCGAGCGUUAAUCGGAAUUACUGGGCGUAAAGCGCGCGUAGGUGGCUUGAUAAGCCGGUUGUGAAAGCCCCGGGCUCAACCUGGGAACGGCAUCCGGAACUGUCAAGCUAGAGUGCAGGAGAGGAAGGUAGAAUUCCCGGUGUAGCGGUGAAAUGCGUAGAAAUCGGGAGGAAUACCAGUGGCGAAGGCGGCCUUCUGGACUGACACUGACACUGAGGUGCGAAAGCGUGGGUAGCAAACAGGAUUAGAUACCCUAGUAGUC
rnacentral:rRNA from 1 species